rnacentral:tRNA from 1 species
GUCAAUAUGGCCGAGUGGUCUAAGGCGCUGCAUUCAAGAGAUUACUUACCUGGCUACCUGGGUCCUGCAGUAUCGAAAGAUUCUUGGGUUCGAAUCCCAAUGUUGACA